AACGAACGCUGGCGGCAGGCUUAACACAUGCAAGUCGAACGCCCCGCAAGGGGAGUGGCAGACGGGUGAGUAACGCGUGGGAAUCUACCCAUCCCUACGGAAUAACGCAUGGAAACGUGUGCUAAUACCGUAUACGCCCUACGGGGGAAAGAUUUAUCGGGGAUGGAUGAGCCCGCGUUGGAUUAGCUAGUUGGUGGGGUAAAGGCCUACCAAGGCGACGAUCCAUAGCUGGUCUGAGAGGAUGAUCAGCCACAUUGGGACUGAGACACGGCCCAAACUCCUACGGGAGGCAGCAGUGGGGAAUAUUGGACAAUGGGCGCAAGCCUGAUCCAGCCAUGCCGCGUGAGUGAUGAAGGCCUUAGGGUUGUAAAGCUCCUUCACCGGAGAAGAUAAUGACGGUAUCCGGAGAAGAAGCCCCGGCUAACUUCGUG
rnacentral:rRNA from 1 species